GUCUCAGUACAGCUAAUUUUAUCUCAACAACUGCCAAAAGUAACGGCCACAUGAAAAAAAACAACUUCAUUGACUCCAUUUUUGUUCCGAACCUGUCAUUUACGUUCUCGUACAUGAAUUCCAGGAGUUCAUAACUUCGCUCCCUUACCUGACGCAGUAAUAGACAAUAGCGCCUACAUAGGUAGACAACCAGCCACGCGAGACUGUAGGGCACACUGCCUACUAGCUCGCGCUGACGUCAAAGCGGCCGUACGUACUUUCAUUUGCUCUUGUGACAAAAGUCCACACAACUCACAGGCUACAAGUUUGCUAAUCACUUCUACAUCGGAGUGUAUCUACAGGCAUAAAUCGAAAAAUAAGACCACGGAGUCAUGCAAAUUGUAAGCACUAAUCUUAAUGUCAAUGUCAAUUAGAGCGUAUCCAAGAAAUAUGGCUUUUUCCAGAUCCACCGCUAACAAAUUUGUUUACGCCGAUUAAGAGUGCCGUAUUGAAAACAUGUAUUAAGUAAAAGUUUUAUACGACACGAGAGAACUCUACAAUUAGUUCCUUGAACACAAUUUUCCUUCGAAACAAACAACCUGGGGUUCACAGGAACUGGAAACGGAAAACUUGUAAAUCCGACACGCGCGGACACGAUUCAGUCAGAAGUGCUGCAUGCCUUCGUCUGCCCCUCCCCUCGUCUUGUCUAUCAAUAAAAUUAAUUUUCAUUUUCCGUCCUUUCGCAACAACAUAGCAGUGUUUCCGAAAUAUUACACACGUUUAAAUCCUAUUAUCUGUAUUUACAGAUCAAUAUGGCGGUAGAGUUCUGACGUCAGUGGAUUGCCGCGUGACGUCAGAGCAUAGGUCGUGACGCACUGAUGACGUCGAACGGAAGCGGUUGUUACAUGAGACGGAAGUCCAUACAACAAAAUAACGCCAAUGUACGUGGCAAUUAAAAGCGAGGUUAAUAAGUAUCGAUAGGGCAUACAUGACAAACGUGAACACAUUCUGAAAGCGAAGAUAAAAACAAUUUUAGUCGUUAAUGAUUUUCACGCAUUGCUACAAUGAAGUGGGAUGCUGGAUUACGAAUGGAAAAUCAAAAACGAAAUUUAAAGGAGAGCAUGUAACGAAGCACAUAUACUAGUAAAGAACCUUAUGCUGGCAUAAGAGCGACAUUAUUUAAGCUGGAAAGUUAUUGCAGUAAACCUCGCUUUCAGAUCGUUGAAUUGUAAAAACCACCAUAAAACUGAAUAAGAAGAAACGUAUACCGCAUAAUUCUGAUAACUUGAUCAAAUUCCAGGCCGACCAAUGUCUGAGGUCCACUUUUUACUACAGUAUUAUCAAAGUUAAUAGAAACAUUCAGAGGUCUCUAAAAAAUUCGUCACUUGUUGGCGAAGGUGAGAAAUUAUCAGUCAGCAUCUCGUGUCUCUAUUCAGUCAGUCAUUGAACAUUUUCCUCUUCCAGUCCUGCGUAAGAACAAAGCAGACGUUUGAUAAUUCAAAGACCUUCAUCACGUACCAGAACGCAAGAUCCUCGUUCCUGGUCACGCGAUGAUGUAGCGAGAUGGCUGAGAGACAUGGCAACACUCCACCAACUUCCUCAAGUUCCCAUCGACAGAUUCCU